rnacentral:rRNA from 1 species
AUGGCCGGAGCUGCGACGGGCCAUCGGCGCUGCGUUGGAGCACUGCGAGCCGGUGUCACGGCCGGAAUGGAGCACCGCCGUGUCAGUGAUGCAACAUCGCCGGCCUUCGUAGGUGGAGCUGCAAUGGAGCACCGUCGUGCCGAUGUUACUGUUGCAAUGAAUCAUGGCCGGAGCUUUGGCGGGCCGCCGACCCUGCAUUGGAGCACCGCGCGGCGGUGCGCCGGUGCUUCAUUGGAGCACCACGUCCACGCAUCGGUAUCGCGGCUGCAAUGGAGCACAACCGAAGCUGCAAUGGAGCACCGCGCCGGUGUCGCGGCUGCAAUGGAGCAGGAGCACCGCCGCGCCGGAGUUGGCAUUGCAAUGGGGCAUUGCUGUGCGGCCGCCGUUGCUGCCAAACGCCUAGCUGAACCGACGGGGGGUGUGUCUGCUGUCGUCGCUUUCCUACAGCUAGAGGAAGAUCAGAUGAGUGAUGCGUUGACGAAUCAACGACUACAGGGGGUCGGAUCCAACGGCUGGGGACCGACUGAUUUCCCUAGAAAAUCAGCCGAAUGA